rnacentral:rRNA from 1 species
AGCUUGCUACUUGCUGACGACCGGCGCACGGGUGCGUAACGCGUAUAGAACCUACCUUUUACAGGAGAAUAGCCCAGAGAAAUUUGGAUUAAUGCUCCAUAGUAUUAUAAAAUGGCAUCAUUUAAUAAUUAAAGCUUCGGCGGUAAAAGAUGGCUAUGCGUUCUAUUAGCUAGAUGGUAAGGUAACGGCUUACCAUGGCAACGAUAGAUAGGGGUCCUGAGAGGGAGAUCCCCCACACUGGUACUGAGACACGGACCAGACUCCUACGGGAGGCAGCAGUGAGGAAUAUUGGACAAUGGAGGUAACUCUGAUCCAGCCAUGCCGCGUGCAGGAAGACGGCCCUAUGGGUUGUAAACUGCUUUUAUACAGGAAGAAACCUUUUCACGUGUGAAAAGCUGACGGUACUGUAAGAAUAAGCACCGGCUAACUCCGUGCCAGCAGCCGCGGUAAUACGGAGGGUGCAAGCGUUAUCCGGAAUCAUUGGGUUUAAAGGGUCCGUAGGCGGACUAAUAAGUCAGGGGUGAAAUACUACAGCUUAACUGUGGAACUGCCUUUGAUACUGUUAGUCUUGAAUUAUAUGGAAGUAGAUAGAAUGUGUAGUGUAGCGGUGAAAUGCUUAGAGAUUACACAGAAUACCGAUUGCGAAGGCAGUCUACUACGUAUAUAUUGACGCUAAUGGACGAAAGCGUGGGGAGCGAACAGGAUUAGAUACCCUGGUAGUCCACGCCGUAAACGAUGGACACUAGUUGUUGGAUUUAUUCAGUGACUAAGCGAAAGUGAUAAGUGUCCCACCUGGGGAGUACGAACGCAAGUUUGAAACUCAAAGGAAUUGACGGGGGCCC